CUUUACUUCUUCCGCGUGCUCGUGUCAGCUGAUCUUAGACGGAAGCACGCGCCACUGUUCAAUUGCUCAAAUCAGUUUUAGCUGGUUAUAAGGCAUUCCCAAGGAUGUUUUGCCAUGAAAAUAAUGGACACGCAGAAAGGGAGACGCUCGAGAGCUUGGGAGCGCCAUGACGUCACCACGGAUCCUCCCAUAGGCGGAAGUUUUGGACGCGCAGACAGUGUGGAGACAAGUAGGAUCUCUGAUCUUAUGCUGGCGGUAGCGCACGAAUACUAGAAUAAUGUAACGACUUAGUUUGGCUACUAAUAUAUGCUUCAUAAGACGCCAAUGGAAAUCUAUUUAUAUUAUCAUCUUUGUAGAAAAUAAAGGGAUUGUGUCUGUAAAUGUUCUUACCUGUCGUAUCACAUCGGAGCGCGUGUGUAAUUUAAGGUAAAGUGGUUCGUUGUGGUCUCUUUUCCCGAACUUAAUGAUGAAAAUGCUUUGUAAUGCAUGUUGCAAGGAAUAAUUACGCUAUUAUAGUUUUAAUUGUUAUUAUUUUAUUGUAGAUGCUAUGUUUUGAAAGAAAGGAAGCGGACUGAGACGCUGUUUUCAUUUUAAAGUAUUUGAGUUGGCUGAAUAUCCGCAAUGUACUGUUGUGAGAGUAUUUCUUAACACUAAAAGUAAAUUAAUAGCCUACGGUAUUUUAAUUGGAACUGAUUUUGUGUUGCUUACUUUGACUAAGCUGCUUUACCCAUCACUUAAUGUCAGCAACCGUUUCAAAUUUAUUUGCAACUUAAGGGGUAAAAAAUGUAGCCUGAGUGUUAUUGUUUAUUUUGAUAAAUUGUAAUGUGCGGUUCUCAACUUUGACUACAGAAAAAUAUUUUAAACAAGCGCGGGGGUUUUGGGCGCUUUAGGCAUAAAUGACUGUUUAGUCAUACAUAAACAUGAUAUGAAAAUACAUUUGCAUUUAAAUAAUAUCAAUUAUGACCCCCCCAAAAUAUGUUCCCAUGUAAGUGUAAUACCGAGUGUUUGGUAUCUAGUUCAGAAGCUCAUUCGUCAUGCAGACAAUAAAGAGAAUUUUUUUGCCCGAUGCUGGAAAUUUAUGGUUACCCUUCUCUGCCCUAAUAUCUCACGCAGUGUGUCACGCGCUGACAGCCUCUGCAGAAAACAAUCACACAUCUUUACAUCCUGAAGAAACAUUCUGCGUUCAGCUUGUUUAAAAUGGCCGUAUGUGUUGUAUUAGAAAAGGUAUUCUCUUUUAAAGCAAAAUCGUCCCUCUAUUUGCACUUUCAAAAACUUAAAUACAAAUAUGUAUUGUUAAUGCAAUCUAUAAAUAAAGAGUGAGAAAUAUUUUUUCUUACUUGUUUCAAAUCGACUAUGGUUUCCAGAAUUGCACCAUGUGCAUGUCUUUGAGCAAGGCCUAUUGUAUUGUGGAUACAUAAUUCUAACUUUUCUAAAUAUUAAAACACGUAAAAAAGGCAAAUGCAUUCAGUAUAGCCUAAAUAUUGAUUCUUGGAAAGAGAGAGUGUGAGGGAGCGAGAUAAUUACCUCACAUAUUCUUAUUGGUUUAUAGGCUUUUAAAAUAAAAUUAUUUAUAUUUUAUUUUAAAAGUUAGAUGUACUUGGCUAAUUUAAGCAAUGUGAUUUUUUUUAAGGGAGGGGGUGUCGGCUAUUAUUUUAUUAAAAAAGUGCAAUAUAGGCUAAAUAAAACCGCGUUUUGGGAUUUAUAAUUGCCAAGUAGGGCAAACCAGCAAUGUUUAUUGUUUGUCACAGACCAGGGUUAUCUGUUUCAUGUGUCUGAGAUACUCCAGCAAAAUAUACAUUUCUUUCACGCUGAUGACUGUCCACUCCAGGUUUUCUUGCUCUCCUAGAUGACCUGUCAAGCGGAUUACCGCAGAAAGAGAUUAAUGGUGGAGGCGGGUUGCAAUAAUAAUCGUUUUGUUUGAUGUGACAACUUUGAUAGGCGUUGAUUUACUUACAAACUGAUAGGCUUUUAAUUGAGCGCCUCCAUCCAGUGAGAGAUGAAAGGCAAAGCGCAUUGAAAAGCUGCCCGAUUGCCCCGGAGCCUCAAUACUGAUUAGCCGUCUCAGCGGUGAAUAGUUCAAGGCUUUUUAAACUUCUUUUCUCAAAGGUCUGACAGACCAUUUCUCUUUCUUUUAUGUAUUUUGGUAUUGUCAAAUAAAAUGAAUAAUAUUAUUGUGUGUAAAUAAAAUUUAGUUGACAUGAAUGGAAAAA